UACGGAGGAUCCGAGCGUUAUCCGGAUUUAUUGGGUUUAAAGGGUGCGUAGGUGGCCUGUUAAGUCAGGGGUGAAAGACGGUAGCUCAACUAUCGCAGUGCCCUUGAUACUGAUGGGCUUGAAUGAACUAGAGGUAGGCGGAAUGUGACAAGUAGCGGUGAAAUGCAUAGAUAUGUCACAGAACACCAAUUGCGAAGGCAGCUUACUAUGGUUUUAUUGACACUGAGGCACGAAAGCGUGGGAUCAAACAGG
rnacentral:rRNA from 1 species